GGAGAAUGCUAUCUGAGAUUGUUGCAGAGUAAAACCUAUACAAAAACUUUUCCUCACAGCAUCCAGUAACUGGGCGGCAAUGCGCUUUCUUCUGUUAGAGGGAGUGACCCAGAUUGCUCUAAUGCCACAAAUAGCGGACACAGCUUUCUCUUCACAGACAAUAGCUCCAUUGCUCUUCCUAUCCAACACUUCAAGAGAAUUGACAGUGGGGGCUUUCUUUG
rnacentral:misc_RNA from 1 species